AUGUGGAAGCUGCGCAGCAUCACAAUAUCCAUCACAUGCCAUUCAUUGAAUUUGAUGAUUAAAUGGAAACAAAUGACAACUGAAAGCGAUAUGCAGGACCUAAGCAAAUCAGGCACCCUCGUGCCUAGCCGAGACCUAGUAACUUCAUCGACCAAAACGAAACAGAUCUACAGACCUCCCGGGGGACAGAUGAACAGAGAUGAAACUCUCCGAGGAUUACGGGAAUCCGAGAUGCGCAUAGCGCGACAAAUCGACGCAUCGAAACAUUUCCCCACCAAUAACGAGACCAAGUUCUCCCGUACGCGAACGAAUCGCGUCAAUUUAAGCUAUACACGGAGUUCUACCGGAACAGAUCACGAGAAUAACCAUCGAUCCGUAAAAAAUUAA
rnacentral:rRNA from 1 species